rnacentral:misc_RNA from 1 species
UAAGCACUUCUCUUGCUCCCUCUUCCCUACCUUGCAGACCCCCACCCUCUGCGGCGAACUGCCGUUGCGUUCCUCUCUCCUGCUGCAGGCAAGCAGGCUUCAGCGACGGCGGCGCCAUAGGCCAUCACGUACACCUAACGCGUACACAAGGCGCGCACACACAUACAUCUAUGUGUAUAUAGGUGGGUCGGCCGUGCGUGUGCUGUGCUGUGCUGUGUUGUGUGUACGUGCCACGCCUCAUCUCCACGACCUGACGUGGGGCUUUGCCUUUACAUUAGACGACCGGAGUUGAGUAACCGUAAAUCGUGGACGGAGGUGGCUAGCGUGCUGCGCCCGCCCCGCCCUCCCUGUGUUUGUGUGUUUGGUAUCCUCCCGCCUCCUUCACCAACAGAGCGGGUGCCUUCGUUGGGCACACACACACACACACACACAGCCAGAGACAUAGACACAGACACAGACACCAGCGCCUGCUUUCCUUCAACACAUAACAGAGGACAUUACAUCACUGCCGUCACAAAGCCACGCUUGCACACUACGCGGGUGGUGGUGGCGGGUGGCACUUGCGCUGUAGCGCAUGCUGAGAGGAGAACGCGGGACUGAACCCUCCCCCCUCCUUUCCACCGGCCAAGACCGGCUGUUUCCGCGCUUCUGCUCCGUAUAUAUAUAUAUAUACUCAUCUUGUGGCUGCUGUUUCUCCGGUUCGUUGCCUUCUUUAUUGGCCGCGGCUCCUCAUAGACGCGCUCUUGCCAUCACGAAGGUCUCCGUGUGCAUCUCCGGGCUACUCCGAGGUCCGCAACACGAGUUCACCUGUCCUUGGUCCGCCUUUCUUACCGCCAGCCCCCGAGAAGAAGACGCGUCUCUCUCUCUCUUUGCGUGGAAGAGAGCAUAACACACGUUAAGCGCAGAGAGGCAACCGACAAAUCAGUUUUUUUUUUAUUUAUUCUCGUCUCGUUGUGGCUGCAGCUCUCUUGUUGCGUGGCUGUGUGACUCUCCAAUGCCACUGCCACUGCCGCCACGCCUUUCUUUUUCGUUUUUGAAGUGUUUCCCACGUUUCGUGUUGCGGUCGUCGCCAUCGCCUUCUUCUUCGUGUGCCACUCGCCUAAGAUCAACUACCGUCUUUUCAUUUGUGGGCGUGCGCGCGUGUGUGUGUGCAUGUCGAUAUAGGCUUGCCUGCGUUCCCUCACGGAUCGGUUCUCUGCACUCGCGGUCCGUCGGAUCCUCCCUCACGCUCUCCGUGUGUGUGUGCGUGCGUGUGUAGAGCGGCUUGUCCAUUCCACUGCCUGGUCUGGCGUUCAGCUCCCCUGCAUUCUCUGAAGAUUCGAUGCGCCCUAUCUUUAUGGGACUCUACCCGACACGCUCCUCGCGUGCUCGGUGCUGCACGACCGCGGCUGGCUUUGCUGCGUCGGCGCGCGGCACGGCCGCCACCGCCGCCGUCGCUGCCACGACCACGACCACAGACGCCGUAGCUGCCGCCUCCGCUGCUCUCACUGCCAUACCACCACCACUCCGUGCGCUGCACAAGAUGAGCAAGCUUACCGACUCCCAUAUGCGGCGGCGAUCUGUGGCAGAUGCCUUGUCUUACACCCCUUCCUCCUCCGUCGCCCCAACGCCGCCGUCGCUGCCGAUGCUGGCUGCCAGGGCCACAGCCGUGCAGGCGCUGAACAGCCUGUCGUUGCAGACAGCGCUCACCUCGACGCAGCUGGCCAGGCUGCCGGUGCGCGUACUCACGCAACUCGUGCAAUGGCGUCGGGCACGCAACUACCGCGCAUCGGUGUUGGCGUCCGCGGCGGGCGACGCUGACUUGUGUGGCGGUCACUUCGGCACUUGGACUACCCGCGCCCAGCGCCGUGGGUUGGCAGCGCGUCUGCGCUCCGGCAUCCGAUGUGCGGCGGCAAUGAAGGCGCUUGAAGUAGCAGCAAACACACAGCCAGCGGCAACGCCGUUUGUGCUGCUCGCGUCCGCCUCCCCUUCCUGUUCUUGCGGCGCCGCGCAGUCGAUCAUCUCUGGCUCGGCGGCAACCUCUGCGGACUCGUCUAGCACCGGGGCCGCCGUCGCCACCCCAGCCGGCUCGCUGCACACAGCGAGGCGCUGCUACUCCUCCGCCGCUAGCGCAGACGGUCCAACCGCCGCCACGGCAGCCGCGUCUGCUACGCCACAACUUGAGGGUGCCGCUUCGCGUGCGGCAGCUGGCAGCGCUGCACGCGAAGCAGAGUGCAGUGAGCACCGGCCGGAUGCGCGUGAAGGCAGUGCAGCCGACAGCAGCAGCAGCGCGCACGAGAGGUUGACGGAGGAAGAGAAAGCGAAUGAAGAUUGCGAGACAGCCGCGGUGCCGUCUUUCGCCGAGAUCUACUAUGCGUUCCGCACCCUUCAACUCGUCCAGGAUGAUGGCCGCGUUGUGCGCGAGUGGACGGCAGCGCAUGUGAAGCAGGCGUAUCGGACACUGGCGAAGCAGCUGCACCCCGACGUUGCUGGCGGUGACGACGAGCUGAUGGAGCAGGUGAACACGUCCUACGACAUGCUCAUGGGCUUGUCCGCGGAGCUGGCGGACAACUACCGCAUGUGGCUGAAGACGGGUGGUGAGGCAGAGCUGCAGCUGCAGCGCGCUCACCAUCAACAGGAAUUGCUCGGCUCUCGCUGGACGUCCCGUGAAGUGGAGCAGCUCAUGAUGGUUGGAUGGUGCGCCACGCUAUCUGGCUUCGCCAUGUACGCCGUGUGGCGCGCUCUCUACGGCACCUCGCCGGUGGUCAACUCUGUGGGUGGUACAACUGCUAUCGGAGGCAGCGCUGUCAGUGGCUGCAGCCAGGUGCAUUGUGGCAUCAACGUCGCGGGCGUGCACCCCGUUGGCACUCGACUGACGCUUCCGCGGGCAGGCGCAACAGUGUCUACGGCCGCGGGCGUGCAGUACGGCGUGGUGAGCAUCGGCAACAGUGCGCUGUGGAUGCCGCCGCAUCUAUCCUUCCAGAUGCUGCAGCUGGUGCGAACGGCCGUGUCGCGCUACGCCUUGGCGGUGGCGCUCACGCUGGCGGCUUGGAUGAACACCGUCAUGCUGCAGCGCGUUCUUCAGCGGAUGCUCAGCGGCGGCGAUGGCGAGAUUGCAGGUCGAGGGAGCACCGAGGGGAAGCGAAGGGACGGCGGCGGCAAGAGUUAGAUUCGUACUGAGAGGGGGCGAGAGCGGGAUAGAGAGUGAGGAAGCGCUGACGGCCCUCUUCGCUCUCGCUGUUGCUGCUGCCGCGAGCACCACACCUGCCCCUGUGCUUCCUUUCUUCUCUCUCCCAUUCUCUGCGCCCUUCUUCAGUAUCGAAGUGCGUUGUGCUUGUGCACGUGUAGCGCGUCCUAUCCUUAUCCAUAGACCCCCCUCCCCCUCCCUCUCUACUCUCCCUCCCUCUUCUCCCUCCCCCUCUUCCCUUCCCCACCCUUGCCAGCCGAUUCGAUUGGUGGAACAGCAUGAGAGGAGCGAAGGGUGGGAGUAAGAGAGCAGCGGUGGCGGAUAAGGGCGGGCGGCGGUGGUGAUGGUGCUUCGUUUCAUCCAACUAGAUGGCUCUGUCUUAACAGUGAUGGCUGCUGCAGUGGGGUGGUUGGUCAGGUGGUGAUGGUGGUGGUGGUGGCGGCACUGGUAGAGGACGACCCGCGUUCAUGGUGCCCUUUCUGUUUUUUUCUCAGCGCGACAGAGCGCCAUCAUGACGGAUAGCGGCGACUUGUAACAACUGCCGCUGCUGCUGCUCCGAAUAGGCUUCCUCUUCCGCUGGUUCUUCGCAUGGCCGGCAUCGCAUAUCUAUAUACACAUAUAUAUAGAGAGAGACAGACAAUAUACAUGUGUGUGUGCGUGAACAUAUAAAUGACGUUAUGUUUGUUUAUCUUUUUAUUUUUAUUUCGCAUGUGGCUGAGUGGCUGUGCGGUGAAGUGUCUCCUCGCUUCUCUGCCACGGUGGCCCCCUCUCUCUCCCCGGAUGAUGGAGGGGCACCUCAGUGCGUGGUAUCUAAGGCUCCAGUGCCCACUCUGUGCCGGGGAGGCCAGAGCGAGUCAUCGCUGCGGAUGUUCGCGGCCACACCCUGGAUGGCGUUUCAUCGGAGAGACCUGCGAGAGCGAGCCCGCUUGCACCAUCCACAUGAUAGGCAAAAAGUGCCCGCGCGACUCGAGCGUAUGCCACACCCGACCCUCGCACCGCCUGCUGGUGUGGGGCGCCUGAGAGCCACCCUACGGUGCGCGGGGUGGGUGGGUGGCGCUUGAGGGCACGGGCCCUCCUCGGGCGACUGGGCCGGCGCACUGCUGCAACGCGUGUCUACCGGUGCUUCGCACCACGCGGGUGCGGUGCUUGUGAAAGGCCGGGGCUCGAGAGAGAAGUGGAGCUCCUGUUCUACGGCAAGCAUCGGGCGUAGGGGCACAGCUACGCUACACGGUUAUACCUCUUGCUGUUUUUCUUUUCCUCUUGUUGAUAAACGGAGUUUCGUGUGUCUGUCUCUGUUUCGUUCUGGGAGUCUCUGCGUCUUGUCUCUACUACGGGUCCGUCCCUCUCCGUGAUUCUCCAUGCUCCCUCUUGUGUCCUCGCACUCGCGCGGACUCCGACUUUCGAUAGAGUAUCUCGUGCAUCUGUGCAAAGGUCUGCCUGUGUGUGUGAAGCGCGUGCGCUUGAGAGAUAAGUUCUCUUGUCUCGCCGUUGCUCGCGCGGGAGUUGGUAGACACACCGGCCAGCACGCAUGUUGUGAGCG